AAUCUGCCACUGCCUCUCUCUAAUUGAGUCUAUUUUAGGUGGUGGAAGAUCACGAGAGUUUCCUAAGAGAACUGUGCCGCGGACUUUUAGAUACCAACCAUUUGGGUUAUCUGGGCUUCGCCUCAACACUUACUUUCCCUCUGUGCCUGUUUGGACGCACGUUUUGGGGUCCCUCAGCUGAUUCCAGUAGCCUUUGAGCUUCCUCCCUGUCACAGCCUGAUGCUGAGUGACUAGAUGCCCACGGUUAGCUUUGUGUUGCUGGUGGAGGUGGGUGUGAUGAGCGUUUUAAAACAUAGAACCUGAGGCAAGGGAAGGAGGAGUUGGGGUCGAGAGGGUUACCGAUCCUAUUUUGCUCAUCAGGCACUGCCUCUGAUAACCUAUAUUCACUUCCAGUUUAUGCUGGUAACACCCACCUCCAAAUUAGCUUCUCAACCUCCUGUGUCCAGAGCCAGGCUGCCUCUUUGGAUGUUAAUAAAUACUUGCUUCCUGACGGAUUUCUAAACCUUAAUUACUGUGUUCAGAGUCUCCCUGCGUGUGACCCAGCACUCCCGUUGGAUGACCCGCAGCCUUCGCUGAAAUAACGCUUUAACGACGCCCUUGCUGAUCGGCUCCAGAAGGUCCCAGUUGGUGUUUCUCCGAGAACCAUCGCGUUCCUAGUGGAUUGUGGACACUGAGAAGAAGCUGUGGGGCAGAACGAGUGGCGUCAGGAAGAGACCUGCCUCAAAACUUUUAUAACUGAGAGCAGAAACGUUUGUUCUGGAUCCCGAUGGUAGAUGGAAAACACUGGUGCUGUCGACUCUCCUCUGCUGAUAAGGACGUGACCAGUGGAAAGGCGCCGGACUUGAGAGUCAGAGGACCCAGGUUCUAAUCCUGGCUCUGCCUCUUGCCAGCUGUGUGACCUUGGCUAUUCCAGCUGCUACCAAAGAACGCAAGAAACCCGGAAGUCACCAGAAACAAGCCCCAGAAGAUCACUUUUCCAGGCCUCCUGCCUCAGCUACCCAAGUAGGAAUGGACAGACUCAGGAGGGCAGCUGCAAAAUCUCGGAGGUUUCCAGUCUCACAGCCUUGGGAAGACGUGAGCUCCGGACGAGUCCUCGCCCUCCUCUGAGGCCAAGGGUGCCCAGGGCCCCCCCGAAGGCGGGGUCCGGGGGAUCCAGGAUUUGCCAUCCAGCCACCGCCGGAAGGAUCCGGGGAGAAUAACCGUUCCACGGGAGAGACCUACCCAAGGACACCGGCGUGAUCUACAAAAAGACAACUCUCUGGCC